rnacentral:tRNA from 1 species
GCCCUCGUGGUCUAAUGGAUAAGACGUCUCCCUCCGAAGGAGGCAACAGAGGUUCGAUUCCUCUCGAGGGCA